AUUGAACGCUGGCGGCAGGCCUAACACAUGCAAGUCGAACGGUAACAGGAAGAAGCUUGCUUCUUUGCUGACGAGUGGCGGACGGGUGAGUAAUGUCUGGGAAACUGCCUGAUGGAGGGGGAUAACUACUGGAAACGGUAGCUAAUACCGCAUAACGUCGCAAGACCAAAGAGGGGGACCUUCGGGCCUCUUGCCAUCGGAUGUGCCCAGAUGGGAUUAGCUAGUAGGUGGGGUAACGGCUCACCUAGGCGACGAUCCCUAGCUGGUCUGAGAGGAUGACCGGCCACACUGGAACUGAGGCACGGUCCAGACUCCUACGGGAGGCAGCAGUGGGGAAUAUUGCACAAUGGUCGCAAGCCUGAUGCAGCCAUGCCGCGUGUAUGAAGAAGGCCUUCGGGUUGUAAAGUACUUUCAGCGGGGAGGAAGGGAGUAAAGUUAAUACCUUUGCUCAUUGACGUUACCCGCAGAAGAAGCACCGGCUAACUCCGUG
rnacentral:rRNA from 1 species